rnacentral:lncRNA from 1 species
CGGAUUACUGAACUGCUUUUUUAUUGUACUUGCACCUUGAGUUCUGUUUUCCUUAAUUUUUUCUAAAAGUCAAAGAAAUCCUAAUCCUUCUUCCAUUUUGAUUGGGUUUGAUUCAUCCUUUUAAUUUCGAUUGAGUCUAUCUCCAAAUUCAUAAUGUUCAAAACUUUCUCUUACCUUUCUAUUGAAAAAUCAAAUGUGAAUUUUCAUUCGCAAAAUACAAAAUUCAACUUUCUGAAAAUAAGACCCAGUAACUAUUGCCUUAGAAUGCAUGAAU